rnacentral:rRNA from 1 species
AUUGAACGCUGGCGGCAGGCCUAACACAUGCAAGUCGAACGGUAACAGGAAGACGCUUGCUUCUUUGCUGACGAGUGGCGGACGGGUGAGUCAUGUCUGGGAAACUGCCUGAUGGAGGGGGAUAACUACUGGAAACGGUAGCUACUACCGCAUAACGUCGCAAGACCAAAGAGGGGGACCUUCGGGCCUCUUGCCAUCGGAUGUGCCCAGAUGGGAUUAGCUAGUAGGUGGGGUAACGGCUCACCUAGGCGACGAUCCCUAGCUGGUCUGAGAGGAUGACCAGCCACACUGGAACUGAGACACGGUCCAGACUCCUACGGGAGGCAGCAGUGGGGAAUAUUGCACAAUGGGCGCAAGCCUGAUGCAGCCAUGCCGCGUGUAUGAAGAAGGCCUUCGGGUUGUAAAGUACUUUCAGCGGGGAGGAAGGGAGUAAAGUUAAUACCUUUGCUCAUUGACGUUACCCGCAGAAGAAGCACCGGCUAACUCCGUG